rnacentral:rRNA from 1 species
AGAGUUUGAUCAUGGCUCAGAUUGAACGCUGGCGGCAGGCCUAACACAUGCAAGUCGAGCGGCAGCGACUUAACUGAACCUUCGGGGAACGUUAAGGGCGGCGAGCGGCGGACGGGUGAGUAAUGCCUGGGAAUAUGCCCUGAUGUGGGGGAUAACUAUUGGAAACGAUAGCUAAUACCGCAUAAUCUCUUCGGAGCAAAGAGGGGGACCUUCGGGCCUCUCGCGUCAGGAUUAGCCCAGGUGGGAUUAGCUUGUUGGUGAGGUAAUGGCUCACCAAGGCAACGAUCCCUAGCUGGUCUGAGGGGAUGAUCAGCCACACUGGAACUGAGACACGGUCCAGACUCCUACGGGAGGCAGCAGUGGGGAAUAUUGCACAAUGGGGGAAACCCUGAUGCAGCCAUGCCGCGUGUGUGAAGAAGGCCUUCGGGUUGUAAAGCACUUUCAGUAGGGAGGAAGGUAGUGUAGUUAACACCUGCAUUAUUUGACGUUACCUACAGAAGAAGCACCGGCUAACUCCGUGCCAGCAGCCGCGGUAAUACGGAGGGUGCGAGCGUUAAUCGGAAUUACUGGGCGUAAAGCGCAUGCAGGCGGCCUGUUAAGUCAGAUGUGAAAGCCCGGGGCUUAACCUCGGAAUUGCAUUUGAAACUGGCAGGCUAGAGUCUUGUAGAGGGGGGUAGAAUUUCAGGUGUAGCGGUGUAAUGCGUAGAGAUCUGA